GUGCUUGCUUCAGCAGCACAUACACUAAAAUUGGGAUGAGACCGAGAAGAUUAGCAUGGCCCCUGUGUAAGGGUGACACACAUAUCUGUGAAGUGUUCCAUAUUUUU